GGUGUCAACAAAAACCACCACCAAAGACCGCGCUCGUCACAUCCCGAGCGUGUUAGAACCCAAAAGAAACCUUGAUGACUGGGCAGUUCGACUGGAGAAUAAGGGGAUAUCAAGAAGAAGAAGAAAAAGACACAGGAGGAAAUUGUGACGGCAAGAGAGCAAGUUGGACGGGAUGGCAAACUCUUGGAUGGCCGGACCUAAACUUUCUACUCGAAAGCUUCUAAACAUGAAAGGAAAGCUUUGGUGGUGUCACAAGUGGAGCAGGAAAAAUGUUCCAGUACCAGCAGGAGAGGACUCAUUCUGUGGAAGAUUCCGGAAGCCUCCCUUAGUUUCCUUCCGAUACAGCUAGAUAUCCAUGAUUCCCUCUUGGCCACUUUGGAACAGACAAGCUACUGUGGGGGAGGAAGAACUACACUACCUUAUACUACUAUCCGGAACACUCCUUAUCAGCCACAAAAGUUGAUGUUCCGUGUUUCAGUGAAACCAUACGAAACCAAACCAAUGAACUUUUAUCAUGUUGAUGAUAAUUCACUUCACCUACCGCCAUUUUUUCAGCAAUGACAGACUUGUGUUUGUCACUUAAUUCCUGCUCCAUAAUGCAGUCAUGAAGUUGAUUCAGGAUCUGCGUGCCUGCGUAGCCUUCAUCCACCAUGUUCUGAUAAAAACAAAGAAAAGAAACAUUUUGUAAUAAGACACAAGGUCUCCUCCUGUUUGGACACAGGGGCCACUCUCUCCCUGAACUUCGAAAUUUUCUCCAGAGUACAGAGAGAGAAACGAUAUCUAUCUUGAUUUUUCCGUACUUCUUACAUGUAUGGGAAAAUUGACAAUUAAAAAUAUUUGAUGUUUUUGACGUACCUUGAUUGCAACCUCAAGUUUCUCAAAUGUUCCUUUAAGGCAGACCUCAAGCAAACUGUCGAUCAUCUCGGCAGGGACAACCUGCAACAAGGAAAAUAUUCAUCAUUUUUGUAAAAUGACGUAUGUUUAGUAGUGAUGUUUUUAUGUAUUUGUACAUUUUGGUCAUGGCAAACAAGAGUGCUGCAAAACAGAACAAAGACAUUGGUCCUACGUCUCUCAAAGUAUGAGCUGCGUCACAAAACC